CAUAAAAUCAAUUAAAUAUUUGAAAAUAGUGAGAAUUGUCAAAAUAACUUAUCAAUUACAUAUUUAGAAAAUUGCAAUUCGGUUUACUCCUGCAAAUAUGUAUGUAGAUGCAUUAGAACAACCUCUCCCAAUUGCGGUCUAUUGGGGCCAUUUCAACAUUUUCAAAAAUUUCGAAGAUUAUUGCAUGGAUGUAUGAAUGUAUGUUUUUUGCUAGUGUAAGCAGGUCUUCAGCUCUUGUACAUGUUAUUAAUAAAAACACUUAUGUAUGUACGGAGGUAUUUAAUAUAUCGUCUUACUUUUCUAUUCUCACCCCUUCAUACAUUUUAUUGUGUCGAUCCUUUUAAAAGAGAAACAACACUCAAAAUAACCCUAAUAUUAUAUUAUAUAACUAUAGCCGAGCCAUUGAUCUUGUGCUCGUUAAAUGAAGUUUUGUAAAUUUUUUUCCAGACUCCUGUAAUCCCUGUAAUUUUCAGAGAAAAAUCUGUUUUCAAAUAAGUUAAUUCUUUUUUUGGGUUUAAAGAUUUUAUUUUUCUUUAAAAAUUAUAACUUGCUAGUGGAUCCGGCCGCGCGUUGUUGUGGUAUACAUUUUAUACCAUUAUUCAAUACAGUGAAAGUUUUAUUUACGAAAACGUUUUUGUCGGUAUAAGAAUCCGAGGGAUUGUACUUGAGGCUUAAUUUUGGAUAUCUUGAUGUAAGUAAAUUUCAUUGGAAAAAUAACGAAUUUAAGGCUGUUUUAUCAAUGUCUGGUUACUGGCCUUUCUAUCCAGUUAAUAGAGUUGUCCGCUUCAUUGUGGGACCGGCCAAUGAGCGUAGUUAAUGGAGAUGUCCGCUUAAUAGAGCGUUCAUUUAAUGGCUAAAUUUUGCUAAAAUCGGUUCAGAAGUUUAGGAGUCUGUCGCGGACAACGUGACACGUAUUUUUUAUAUAUAAAGAUUAUUUGUAUUCUGUGCAUUUAUCAUCUUCUCGUUAUGUGGUAUCAUACAGCAUACUCGUACAUACUUACAUACAUAUGCUUAUAAAGAGAUGUAUUUAAAAUUUUGAUAUAUCAAACCUAACGUUUGGUUCUCAAUAUUCGAUAAGAGAAUGGAAUUGAGCUUUUGCACUACGCCCCUUUAUUGAAAUUACUAUAAUAGUAACAACAAUAAUGAAUGGCAAACCGAUAAGAAAUUUAAAUGUCACAACUAUUUAAGACGAAAUCUUCUUGAUUGCCUUUGAAACGUGAUCAGCGCUGGAAGUUCGGGCUUUUGAUAAAAUAAUAUUCAUAGACGGUGCUGAAAUAAUUUUUGGUGAAUACUUGUUGUAGAAAAUCGGUGAAAAUGUAUUGGUUUCGCGUGUUAGCUCAAGUUAUUUUACUUUUGUUUGUGUUCGACGCGAAUGCUUCACAAUUUGAAGUUAAUACUCUGACUUUCAAGGGCGUUUGUGAGCAGAAGGGUGGAGAUUGGUGCAGCCUAAAAUGCCAAAUAGCAGGUGGGCGCGAUGGUUAUUGCAACAAAGCAAAAAUCUGUAAUUGUAGGCAAAUGUAAGCGGAAUGCUCCAUGGAAUUCGAUAUACUUAUAAAUGUUUGCGCAUACCUUGGGCAUAUGUAUGAAAACUAUCUCUAAAUAAAGACGGCAUCUUUUUCUUA